rnacentral:miRNA from 1 species
GAUGGAUAUAUCUUCAAGAAC